UGUCUACCAAGAGGGAGCAGGAUGAAAACACACUUAGAGACACACACAUGCACAUGCCAAUUAAACAGGAGGUCAAUUUGUGGUUGUGCUCGAUGGAUUUGAACUCUUUGGAGCCUAAAAUCAGCAGAGACGUGAUUAUUCAUAACACCACGUUUGUUUUAUCCAUUGAGUUUGGAGUGAAUCAUCUGCAAAGAAUCACACAUCAGGAUCUUUAUAUGCUGCUCCACAAUCUGCUAACAAAGGAGGGAAAGAAGGUCCGUUUUCUGUCUGUAUUACGAGCGAAUUCAAAACAUCAUGAUGCAUUUUGUUGUAACCACGACUUCAUUAGUUACUGUGCAUCAGUCUCAACAUAUUUCUGGGGUCCAGUUGUUUUACAUACUGAUGAGUAUUAGAUGUGUGCAGUGAUUAGAGGGAGGGUUUUUCUACUCAUUACAGGGCUCAACCAAAGAGGUGACCUGACAGCGCCUCCAUUUUCUUAUUUUUUUGUGUUGUUCAAAAAAGGAAUUGAAAGAAAAGGUGCAGUGUCUUUCCUCUUUUCUAAUGUGAAGAUACAAAGGUAAACAUAGCAGUAUUGUUGAUAUUUACAUAUCGUGUGAUGUUUUGUUUCUCUCUCUCUCUCUCUCUCUCUCUCUCUCUCUCUCUCUCUCUUUCUCUCUCUCUCUCUUUCUCUCUGGGAGAUUCUUGUUGACAGAUUGCCCGGUUAUAAUAUAUCCAACUGCUUCAUCAUGACAAGACAAAGAGUUCAUCUUUUCAGUGUUUUGAAAUGUCUACAGCAACUCUUUUCAGGAACAUUUACACUUGUCACUUGUUACAGGAACAAGUGAAUUUGCCAACAUUUGUCAGCCUCAGCAUUUUAUUUUUCUCCUCCUGGUUUUACGAUGACACAGGGUGCUUAACGAUUGAACAUCCUGAUCCCAUCCUUUCUGUGCUUUGAGUGUUCAGACCCAUAGAAUCAAAUAGUAAAGACGACGACGAUGAUGAUAAGGUAAUUAAUGGUAGUGUAAAUAUUUUGUAUUGAAGUGCCAGCUCCUAUAAGACACUGACUCAACACGUGGAAAUGUCAACUGUAUGCAUGGCUAGUAAACAAAAAAAGGACUCUUACUUAUUAUAGGCUGUGGAAACGUGCAAACCAAACACAUACACUGUCUGGACAUCUGGACACUGUCUCAACUGUACAUCUGUGUUUCCACGGGACGGCAGACUUUACCCGUGUGACCAUUUUCAUUGUUGAUUUUAUAUUUUUUUAUGUGACCAUUUACUCUUUAUUCCCUCUCUGAAUGGUGACACUGUUACAUUUGACACCUGAACAAUAAAAGUGCGUUCAACACUCGACUGAGGCUAUCAAGCUUGAGUGAAAUGAA